rnacentral:rRNA from 1 species
GGUUUCCUAGGUGAACCGGAGGGAUCAUUACCGAGUUUUCAACUCCCAACCCUUUUGUGAACAUACCUAUCGUUGCUUCGGCGGACUCGCCCCAGCGUCCGGCCGGCCCCGCGCCGGCCGCGGCCUGGAUCCAGGCGGCCGCCGGAGACCCCCAAACUCAGUAUUCUCAGUAUCUUCUGAAUCCGCCGCAAGGCAAAACAAAUGAAUCAAAACUUUCAACAACGGAUCUCUUGGUUCUGGCAUCGAUGAAGAACGCAGCGAUAUUGCGAUAAGUAAUGUGAAUUGCAGAAUUCAGUGAAUCAUCGAAUCUUUGAACGCACAUUGCGCCCGCCAGCAUUCUGGCGGGCAUGCCUGUUCGAGCGUCAUUUCAACCCUCGACUUCCCUUUGGGGAAAUCGGCGUUGGGGACCGGCCGUAUACCGCCGGCCGGCGAAAUGAAGUGGCGGCCCGUCCGCGGGCACCUCUGCGUAGUAAUCCAACUCGCACCGGAACCCCGACGUGGCCACGCCGUAAAACCCCCGACUUCUGAACGUUGACCUCGGAUCAGGUAGGAAUACCCGCUGAACUUAAGCAUAUAUAC